CCUACGGGAGGCAGCAGUGGGGAAUAUUGCGCAAUGGGCGAAAGCCUGACGCAGCAACGCCGCGUGGGGGAUGAAGGCCUUCGGGCUGUAAACCUCUUUCAGCAGGGAAGAAGCGAAAGUGACGGUACCUGCAGAAGAAGCACCGGCUAACUACGUGCCAGCAGCCGCGGUAAUACGUAGGGUGCAAGCGUUGUCCGGAUUUAUUGGGCGUAAAGAGCUCGUAGGCGGUUAGUCACGUCGGAUGUGAAAUCCCGGAGCUUAACUCCGGGCCUGCAUUCGAUACGGGCUGACUCGAGUGUUGUAGGGGAGACUGGAACUCCUGGUGUAGCGGUGAAAUGCGCAGAUAUCAGGAAGAACACCGGUGGCGAAGGCGGGUCUCUGGGCAACUACUGACGCUGAGGAGCGAAAGCGUGGGGAGCAAACAGGAUUAGAUACCCUGGUAGUCCACGCCGUAAACGGUGGGCGCUAGGUGUGGGGAACAGUUCCACGUUCUCUGCGCCGCNGCUACGACAUAAGCGCCCGCCGUCGGGAGGUACGGCCGCGACGGACGUAAACUACGAAGGAAGUUAGACGGCGUGAGACGUGCCGACGGACGACGACGAGGGAGGUAGG
rnacentral:rRNA from 1 species